rnacentral:rRNA from 1 species
AUUGAACGCUGGCGGCAGGCCUAACACAUGCAAGUCGAGCGAGCGGCGGACGGGUGAGUAAUGUCUGGGAAACUGCCUGAUGGGGGGGGAUAACUACUGGAAACGGUAGCUAAUACCGCAUACUAUUGGAGCGGCCGAUAUCGGAUUAGCUAGUUGGUGGGGUAACGGCUCACCAAGGCGACGAGCCCUAGCUGGUCUGAGAGGAUGACCAGCCACACGGGAACUGAGACACGGUCCAGACUCCUACGGGAGGCAGCAGUGGGGAAUAUUGCACAAUGGGCGCAAGCCUGAUGCAGCCAUGCCGCGUGUGUGAAGAAGGCCUUCGGGUUGUAAAGCACUUUCAGCGGGGAGGCGUUACCCGCAGAAGAAGCACCGGCUAACUCCGUGCCAGCAGCCGCGGUAAUUC